rnacentral:rRNA from 1 species
GACGAACGCUGGCGGCGUGCCUAACACAUGCAAGUCAACUUGACUGAAGGAGCAAUCUGACAGUAGAGUGGCGCAAGGGUGCGUAACGCGUAAGUAACUUGCCCAAGGUAAGGAAUAACGUCGAGAAAUCGGCGCUAAUACCUCAUAAUGCAGCGGAUCCGCAUGGAUAUGUUGUUAAAGGUUUACCGCCUUGGGAUAGGCUUGCGUCUGAUUAGUUAGUUGGUGUGGUAACGGCACACCAAGGCUACGAUCAGUAACUGGUCUGAGAGGAUGAUCAGUCACACUGGAACUGAGACACGGUCCAGACUCCUACGGGAGGCAGCAGUGAGGAAUAUUGGGCAAUGCUCGAAAGAGUGACCCAGCAACGCCGCGUGGAGGAUGAAGGUAUUCUAUAUCGUAAACUCCUGUGAGAGCAGACGAAAGACAGAUUAUUAAUCUGGACGACUGUAUGCUCAGAGGAAGCCCCGGCUAACUACGUG